rnacentral:rRNA from 1 species
UACGUAGGGUGCAAGCGUUGUCCGGAAUUAUUGGGCGUAAAGAGCUCGUAGGCGGUCUGUCGCGUCUGCUGUGAAAACCUAGGGCUUAACUCUGGGCGUGCAGUGGGUACGGGCAGGCUAGAGUGCGGUAGGGGAGACUGGAAUUCCUGGUGUAGCGGUGAAAUGCGCAGAUAUCGAGGAGGAACACCGGUGGCGAAGGCGGGUCUCUGGGCCGUAACUGACGCUGAGGAGCGAAAGCUGGGGAGCGAACAGGAU